rnacentral:tRNA from 1 species
GCGCCUGUAGCUCAAUCGGAUAGAGCAACAGCCUUCUAAGCUGUGGGCCGGGGGUUCGAAUCCCUCCAGGCGCG